rnacentral:rRNA from 1 species
CCCUUAGAUGUCCUGGGCCGCACGCGCGCUACACUGAGUGUCUGAGAUACGAGUCUGCCUAGCCGGCGAGGUCUAGGUAAUCGCUGAAAGACACAUCAUGCUUGGGAUAGAUUAUUGCAGAUAUUAAUCUUGAACGAGGAAUUCCUAGUAAGCGUGAUUCAUCAGCUUGCGCUGACUACGUCCCUGCCCCUUGUACACACCGCCCGUCGCUGCCCGGAACUGAGCCGUUUCGAGAAAGCUGGGGACUGACGGCUUGUGGGUGCGCAAGCACUUCUUGCCGAUGGAAACCAGUUUAAUCGGUAUGGCUUGAACCGGGCAAAAGUCGUAACA